rnacentral:rRNA from 1 species
CCCUUAGAUGUUCUGGGCUGCACGCGCGCUACACUGAUGCACUCAACGAGUUUACGACCUUGUCCGAGAGGAUUGGGUAAUCUUUUUAAAAUGCAUCGUGAUGGGGAUAGAUUAUUGCAAUUAUUAAUCUUCAACGAGGAAUGCCUAGUAGGCGCAAGUCAUCAGCUUGCGUCGAUUACGUCCCUGCCCUUUGUACACACCGCCCGUCGCUCCUACCGAUUGGGUGUGCUGGUGAAAUGUUCGGAUCGGCCGUUUGUCGCGGUUUCCGCGGCUCGUGGCUGAGAAGUUCAUUAAACCCUCCCACCUAGAGGAAGGAGAAGUCGUAACA